rnacentral:rRNA from 1 species
AGAACGAACGCUGGCGGCACGCCUAACACAUGCAAGUCGAGCGAGACCUUCGGGUUUAGCGGCGGACGGGUUAGUAACGCGUGGGAACGUACCUUUUGCUUCGGAAUAGCCUCGGGAAACUGGGAGUAAUACCGAAUGUGCCCUUUGGGGGAAAGAUUUAUCGGCAAAAGAUCGGCCCGCGUCUGAUUAGAUAGUUGGUGGGGUAAUGGCCUACCAAGUCUGCGAUCAGUAGCUGGUUUGAGAGGAUGAUCAGCAACACUGGGACUGAGACACGGCCCAGACUCCUACGGGAGGCAGCAGUGGGGAAUCUUAGACAAUGGGCGCAAGCCUGAUCUAGCGAUGCCGCGUGAGUGACGAAGGCCUUAGGGUCGUAAAGCUCUUUCGCCAGGGAUGAUAAUGACAGUACCUGGUAAAGAAACCCCGGCUAACUCCGCGCCAGCAGCCGC